AAAUGGUGCUUCAAAUCCCGAUACAUUUUUGUACUUUCUGGAUGAAUAGCCAACUUAGAUGCAUGAGCUUUCUUUAAAACAUCCAAUCAGAGUUUUGGGUCACCAGACACCCACAAUCGAUUUCGAAACCAAAGGGUCGCACCAUUAGACCUUCCAAAAGUCAUACAAUUCCUCUGACUCCAACUUAUCUUUUAACUUUACUGUCUCAGAAUCCAUAGAUUGGGCUUUAUUGAUUUUCUAGAUAAGAGUGGGCUGGAUCCGAAUUUAGGCAAGAUAGGUGCCCUCACCAUAAUGGUUUAGU
rnacentral:lncRNA from 1 species